UGUAAUCCAGGAUAAAGAUGUAUUGAAGAUACGGCUAUAACGAGCACCAGCUAUAAAGAGACAGUAUCAGCAGAGACGUGUGUCGAAGAUCUGAGCAGUGUAACUGGGAAUUAGUUCUGUUAAAUCGUAUCAAGCGAUUUGUUUUUUAAUGUAAGUAUCGCGAAUCGACUUUCCAUGGAUGGCCCACUAUUUCAUCCAACGAACCAAGAAACAAGAUGGCAGGCCACCCGAGAUCAAACAACCAGCACAGGAGCGAAAUAUUUCAAGACAGAGGAUUUAAUACGGUCAGAUGUAUAUUUCUCAUUCGAAGGAUCUGAAUUUGACUUUCUGGAAGAACUGAUUAUUUUUGCAAAGACUUUGAUAAGAGACUGACUGAGAUUUACUUUGUUUAAGGGUUCUGAUGUUGAAGGUUUGUCGUGAAAGGAGUUAAGCUGUGUAUUUACAUAUUUUUGGGGUUGAAUUUGAUUUGUAGACAUGCUCAUCAGAACAGAAACUGAAGUUAAUUAUAAUACUUAAGAAUAGGAAUUCAAUUAGUUUUCUAACUAGGGAUAAAUAAAAAGGAAAGGUUCAUCUGUAAACCUUUAAAUAGGGAAUACUACUAGAUCUAAUUAGUUAUAGAGAAAUUGGAGUAGUAAAGGUUAUUCUAAUGAAUCUCACUGAUUCUAACUAAAAAGAAAUUUGGGUUUUGUUGUUAUCUGAGAUUUGGAACCUAAGACAGAAUGUUGGAAUUUUGAAUUGUUCUUACUCAGAGCUUCUUCUGAUGGCUCACUGGCACCUAGUGUAGCACUAUAUCAAAUGGACAGAAGGCCUUGCUGUCCUUUCAGGUGAGGUAAACAGAAGGAUUAUUUUAAUAACUGAUGUGAUCAUUAUCAUAUUGUUUGAGUGAGCUUGCUGUAGUCAAAUUUCAAGAUGAACUUC